rnacentral:rRNA from 2 species
UACAGAGGGUGCGAGCGUUAAUCGGAGUUACUGGGCGUAAAGGGCGCGUAGGCGGUUGUGUGAGUGUGAUGUGAAAGCCCUGGGCUUAACCUGGGAAGUGCAUCGCAAACGACAUAACUGGAGUAUAAGAGAGGGUGGCGGAAUUUCCGGUGUAGCGGUGAAAUGCGUAGAGAUCGGAAGGAACGUCAAUGGCGAAGGCAGCCACCUGGCUUAAUACUGACGCUGAGGCGCGAAAGCGUGGGUAGCGAACAGG